UGUGGGAGCGAGCUUGCUCGCGAUAGCGGUGUAUCAGUCGACAUCCAUGUUGGCUGAACAGACGCCAUCGCGAGCAAGCUCGCUCCCACA
rnacentral:misc_RNA from 1 species